ACGGCUGGCGGUGGACCCUCACUUAGAGGGUGUGGCUCAGUUCUAACCGCGAGGAAGAGUUUUGAGUUUCCGUGGUGGAAGGGGGCUUCGAGAUCAGUUUUGAGUGUCCGUGGCGGAAAGGGCUUGGAAGCAGCCAGUCACAGGCGAGCUUAACAGGAUUUAAAAGAUGCCAGGAAGUUGGGAGGCGAGGUACUGUUGCCCAAACAGGAAGACAUAACAGGUAUCAACUUGACCGGAUUAAGGAAUACCUAUAGAACGUGAAACAUCACUUCUGGGUGUGUUCAUAAGGGAGGAUGUUUCUGGAGGAGAUUGGAAUAAAACAACUCACCUGUGAAGUUGGAUAUCCUGGAACCUGCCCCCUAAGAGGGGGUGCUUCAGUCUGACAGUCCUGCUGGGGAUAGAUCCAACGAGAGACUGGAGUUGGGCUGUUGCCAGGUGAACGGUAUGAGGAUACCCAUGACUAAAGAAUUCCAUGCAGGACGAGGUGCAAUAAACAGUCAGCAAUGCGUUCCCUGAGCAGAAGACCAUGAACCACCACUUGGUUAUACUAAGAGGUUGUGAAGGUCUUCAGGCAUAAACAAAGAACUCCUUAAUAAAUUGGAGACUUAAUAAAACAUUAUGUGACGUUUUAUACUGUUAUUCAACUUGUAGAAAUCCUAAGGAAAUUAUUCAACUACAGAAAAAGUUAUAGGCAUGAUAUUCUUCAUUGCAGCAUUAUUUAUAAUCGCACAAAAUUGUAAACAACCUAAAUGUUCUAUAGUAAUGGAAUCUUUAAGUAGAUUAAGGACUACUAAUUAAAAACAUUUAAUUCAGUCGCCAAAUUUUACUGUUAAGGCCAGUCACAGGGACUCAUGCCUUUAAAAGUCCCAGCAUUUUGGGAAGCCAAGGCAGGAGGAUUGCUUGAGUCCAGGAGUUUGGGACCUGCCUGGGCAAACAGCAAGACCUUGUCUCUACCAAAAAAAAAAAAAAAUUAAUUAGCUGGGUGUAGAGGCAGGGGGAUCACUUGAACCCAGGAGGUAGAGGCUGCAGUGAGCUGAGAUCACACCACUGCACUUCAGCCUGGGCAACAAGAGUGAAACUCUGUCUCAGAAAAAAAAACCCUACCAAAUAGAAGAAUGACCAUGUGGCAAGGCUAACCCAAGGAGGUAGCCAGAAGGCAAAGAGAUGAUACUGCUUAAUGUUUUUAAAAGGAAACCAGUCAUAUCUAUGUACCAUUAUAGGAGUCUACUUUGGAUAGAAGCUAGGCCAAGUGCAGUGGCUCAUGCCUAUAAUCCCAGCACUUUGGGAUGAUGAGGUAGGAGGAUCACCUGAGCCCAGGAGUUCAAGACCAAGACUAGCCUAGGCAGCAUAGCGAGACCCCAUCUCUACAAAAUAUUUCAAAAUUAGCCGGGCAUGGUUGCACACACCUGUACUUAGGAGGCUGAGGCAGGAGGAUCACUUGAGCCUAGGAGUUCAAGGUUACAGUGAGCUAUGAUUGUGGCACUGCAAUGAACUGGGUGAUGGAGCAAGACUCUAUCUCAAGAAACAACAACAAAAAUAUGGCUGGGCACAGUGGCUCAUGCCUGUAAUCCCAGCACUUUGGGAGGCUGAGGUGGAUGGAUCACCUGAGGUUGGGAGUUUGAGACCAACCUGGUCAACAUGGUAAAACCCUGUCUCUACUAAAAAUACAAAAAAUAGCUGGACAUGGUGGUGCAUGCCUGUAAUCCCAGCUACUCGGGAGGCUGAGGCAGGAGAAUCACUUGAGCCCAAGAAGCAGAGGUUGCAGUGAGCCAAGAUUGUCCCAUUGCACUCCAGCCUGGGCAACAAAAGCAAAACUCCGACUCAAAAAAAAAAAACAAAAGCAAAGAUGAUAAAUGUAUAAUCUCCAUGUGACGUUUCACCAGAAAAUACAUAUGCGCUCACCCCAAAAAGGUUUUAUCUAGAUACCUGUGGGUUAUUUUAAAUACAACAACUUGUAUGUUGUAUCUAAAAACACUUGCACAUUAUUACUGUUGCUUUAAAAAAGUUACUACUAAAUUAUGAGUUAAUCUUUCUUGAACCUAUAUAUGAAUGUAAUAAAUACUUUUACCUAAGGGGGAAACAUCAUGAGAAAAAGCAAUCUUUAUCAGUAAGAUCAAUCAGUAAAAUCAGAAAAAUUAACAUUAACUUGUAAUUCAUGUCUUUGGGGGGUGUUGUCUCCCUUUUACAUUAACUAUAAGUACACAUGCUACUCUCCAAACUGAUCUAUGAUGCAAUCUCAAUGGAAAUCUCAGCUGCCUUGUUUGCAUGAGUUGAAAAGCUGAUCCUAAAAUUCUUAUGAAAAUGCAAGAGACCUAGCAUAGCCAAAAACAUAUGGAAAAAGAAAAAGAAAAAAGAGAUUGAGAGUCCAUGUCUUUGAAGAGACUCACACUUCUGGAUUUCAAACUUACUUCAGAGCCAUAGUAAUCAAAACAGUUUGGUACUGGCUUAAGGACAGACAUAUAGAUCAAUGGGACAGAACUGAGAAUCUGGAAAUAAAACCUUACAUUUAUGAUUUUUAAGAAGGGUACCAAAGCCAGGCAUGGUGGCUCACACCUCUAAUUCCAGCACUUUGGGAGUCCAAGGCAGGUAGGUGGAUCACCAGAGGUCAGGAGAUUGAGAUCAGCCUGUGCAACAUGGUGAAACCCCGUCUCUACUAAUAAUACAAAAAAAAUUAGCUGGGCAUGGUGGUGGGCACCUGUAAUCCUAGCUACUUGGGAGGCUGAGGCAAGAGACUCACUUGAACCUGGGAGGUGGAGGCUGCAGUGAGCCUAGAUCGCACCACUACACUCCAUCCUUGGAGACAGAGUGAGACUCCUUCUUGAAAAAAACAAAAGGGUACCAAGAUAAUUCAGUGAUGAAAGAAUAGUUUUGGUGGUGCUGAGACAUAACUAUCCACAUGUAAAGCAGUGAACUUGGGCCUUAUUUCACACCAUAUUGCAAAAAUUAACUAAAAUGGGUCAUAGACCUAAAUGUGAGAGUUAAAACUAUAAAAAAUUCUUAGAAGAAAUCAUUGGAAUAAAUCUUUAUGACCUCUGGUUAGACAAAGUCUUCUUAGAUAAGACACCAAAAGCAGGAGUAACAAAAGAACAGAUAUAAAUUGCACUUCAUCAAAAUUAAAAGCUUUUGUGCUUCAAAGGACACCAUCAAAGUGCGAAAAGACAACCCACAGAAUGGGAGAAACUAUUUGCAAAUCAUAUACAAUCAUGCACUGCAUAAUGAUGUUUUAGUCAGUGGUGGAGUGCAUACAUAACAGUGGUCCCAUAGGACUAUAAUGGAGCCAAAUAAUUUUAUUGCCUAGCGACAGUGUAGCUGUCAUAUGUGACGGCACAAUGCAUUACUCACCUGCUUAUGGUGAUGCUGGGGUAAACAAACUUGCUGUGUGCCAGUUGUAUAUAAGUAUAGUACAUACAAUUAUAUAUAAUACAUAAUACUUAGCGAUGAUAACUGACUAUGUUACUAGUUUAUGUAUUUACUAUAUACCAUAUUCGUUAUCAUUAUCUUAGCGUGUACUCCUUCUAAUGGUACAUUUUUUAAAGGUUAACCAUAAAACAGCCUCAAGGAGGUCCUUUGGGAGGUAUUCCAGAACAAGUCAUAAUCAAAGGAAAUGACAACUCCCAUGUGUCUUAUUGCCCCAAGAUAUGGAGGUGAAAGACAGUGAUAUUGAUGAUCCUCACCCUAGGUUGGCUUAUGCUAAUGUGUUUGUGCCUUCGUUUUUAACAAAACAGUUUUUAAAAAAACAAGAACUUAAAAACAGGAAAAAACUUAACAGAAUAUGGAUAUAAAGAAAGAAAACAUUUUUAUACCACUGUACAGUGUGUUUGUAUUUUAAGUAAAGUAUUACUACAAAACAGUCAAACUGUUUUAAAAUUUAAAAGUUUAUAAGGCCAGGUACAGUGGCUCAUGCCUGUAAUCCCAGCACUUUGGGAAACUGAGGCAAGACAGAUCACCUGAGGUCAGGAGUUCAGGACCAGCUUGGCCAACAUAGUGAAACCCUGUCUCUGCUAAAAAUACAAAAAUUAGCCAGGUGUGGUGGCACAUGCCUGUAGUCCCAGCUACUAUGAAGGCUGAGGCGGGAGGAUCACUUAAACCCAGGAAGUGGAGGUUACAGUGAGCCGAGAUCACAACACUGCACUCCAUCCUGGGUGACAGAGCGACACCCCAUCUCAAAGAAAUAACUUACCUAAACUGGUUAUUCUAGUUAGAAAAAAAUAAAAGAAUAAAAAUAAAAAGUUACAGUAUCUAAGGUUAAUUUAUUGAAGAAAGAAAAGUACUGUUUGACAACUGUAUGGUAAACUAAGUGUACAGUGUUUAUAAAGCCUACAAUAGUGCACAGUAACAUCCCAGGCCUUCAUAUUCACUCACCACUCACUGAUUCACUCACCCAGAGCAAGUUCCAGUCCUGCAAGUUCCAUUCAGGGUAAGUGCCCUGUACAGCCAUAAUAUUUUGAAUCUUUUAUCUGUAUUUUUACUGUAUCUUUACUAUGUUUACAUGUGUUUAGAUACACCGAUGCUUACCAUGGUGUUACAAUUGCUUACAGUAUUCAGUACAGUAACAUGCUGUACAGGUUUGUAGCCUAGAAGCAAUAGGCUAUACCAUAUAGCCUAGGUAUGUAGUAAGCUAUACCAUCUAGGCUUGUGUAAGUACACUCUAUAAUGUUUGCACAGUGACGAAAUUGCCUCAUGAUACAUUUCUCAGAAAUAUCCCCCUUAUUAAGCAAUGAAUGACUGUAUUUGAUAAGAAACUUGUAUCUAGAAUGUAUAAAGAAUGCUUAAAACUCAACAAUAAAAAGACAACCCAAUUUUAAAAUAGUCAAAGAAUCUAGUCUCACUCUGUCACCCAGGCUGGAGUGCAAUGGUGCAGUCUCAUCUUGGCUCACUGCAACAUCCACCUCCUGGGUUCAAGAAAUUCUCCUUACUCAGCCUCCCAAGUAGCUGGGAUUACAGGCACCUGCCACCAUGCCCAGCUAAUUUUUGUAUUUUAAGCAAAGUAUUACUACAGAAAUGGGGUUUCACCAUGUUGGCCAGGUUGGUCUCUAACUCCUCAGGCUGGUCUCUAGCCUCAAGUGAUCUGCCCACCUCUGCCUCCCAAAGUGCUGGGAUUACAGGUGUGAGCCACCACACCCAGCCCAAAGAAUCUGAAUAGACAUUUCUCCAAACAAGAUAUAUAAAUGGCUAAAAGCACAUGAAAAGAUGCUCAAAUCAUUAGUCAUCAGAGAACUGCAAAUCAAAACCACAAUGAGAUAUCACUUCACACCCACUAAGAUGGCCAUAAUUUGUGGGGUUUUUUUUGUGAUGGAGUCUCACUCUGUAGCCCAUACUGGAGUGCAGUGGUGCAAUCUCAGCUGACUGCAACCUCCGCCUCCCAGAUUCUGGUUCAAGCAAUUCUCCUACCUCAGCCUCCCAAGUAGCUGGGAUUAUAGGCAUGAGCCACCAUGCCCAGCUAAUUUUUGUAUUUUUUAGUAGAGAUGGGGUUUCACCAGUUGGCCAGUCUGGUCUUAAACUCCUGACCUCAUGAUGUACCUGCCUUGGCCUCCCAAAGUGCUGGGAUUACAGACAUGAGCCACCACACCCAGCCGGCUGUAAUUUUUUUUUUAAAGGAAAACAAGUAUUGGUAAGGAUGUGGAGAAAUCAGAGCCCUCGUACAUUGCUGCUGGGAAUAUAAAAUGGUACAGUACCUUUGAAGAACAGUUUGCCAGUUCCUCAAAUUGACAAAUAUAGGGUUACUCUAUGACCCAGCAAUUCCACGUCUAGGUAUAGACCAAAGAGAACUAAAAACAUAUUUCCACAUAAAAACCUGUACAUGAGGCCAGGCGCGGUGGCUCACGCCUGUAAUCCCAGCACUUUGGGAGGCCUAGGCAGGUGGAUCACGAGAUCAAGAGAUCGAGACCAUCCUGGUCAACAUGGUGAAACCCCGUCUCUACUAAAAAUACAAAAACUUAGCUGGGCACAGUGGCGCAUGCCUGUAAUCCCAGCUACUCAGGAGGCUGAGGCAGGAGAAUUGCCUGAACCCAGGAGGCGGAGGUUGCGGUGAGCCGAGAUCGCGCCAUUGCACUCCAGCCUGGGUAACAAGAAUGAAACUCCGUUUCAAAAAAAAAAAACCUGUACAUGAAUGUAGUAGCAGCAUCACUUACAAUAGAAAAAAAAAAGAAAGACACCCCAAAUAUCUAUCAAUUGAUGAAAUUUGGUAUAUCCUCACAAUAUGGAGAAACUUGAAAACAUUACAUAGUGACAGAAGCCAGAAACAAAAGGCCACAUACUGUAUAAUUCCAUAUAAAAUGUCCGGUUAGACAAAUCCUAAGAGUUAAAAAGUAGAUUACAGGUUGCCAAGAGCUGGGGGGAGGGAGUAAUGACAUAUUAAGUACAGGGUUUCUAUUUGGGGUGAGGACAAUGUUCCAGAAUUCGACAGUGAUAAUGGGUAAACUUUAUGAAUAUACUAAAAACCACUGAACUGUACACUUUGAAGGGUGGAUUUUAUAAUAUGUGGUCAAACUACAACUAUGUAAUGUUUAUCAAUAAUAAUAACUACUCAAUUUCAGUCAAGGAUGAGGCUGAUACAAGUAAAAUGAAACUCUGUGAUAAGUACUAACAUGAUCUUUUAUUUUGCAUUCCAUUAUCUCUGAUCAACCUCAUCCUGAGGUUCACAUAAAUAUGUUCAUUAUAGGUGAGGCACAGGGGCUCACACCUCUAACCCCAGUGCUUUGAAAGGUCAAUUUGGGAAGACAGGUUGAGGCUAGAGGUUUAAAAUCAGCCUAGGCAACACAGCAAGACCCUGUUUCUGCAAAAAACAAACAAAUUAGCAAGGCAUGGUGACAUACACCCAUAGUCCCAGCUACUUGAGAAGCUGAAGUGGGAAGAUCUCUUGAGCCCAGGAUUGGGAAACCAGCCUGGGUAACAUGGCAAAACCUUAACUAUACAAAAAAUUUUAAAAAUUAGCUGGACAUGGUAGUGUGCACCUGUAGUCCCAGCUACUCAGGAGGCUGAAGUGGGAAGAUCACUUGAGGCCAAGAGGUUGAGGCUGCAGUGAGCUGCCAUCAUGCCAGCCUGGGAUACAGAGCAAGACCCUGUCUCAAAAACAAACAAACAAACAGAAAAAGCAGAAAUAUGGCUAGAUAGAAAAAAAUAUGGAAAUAUGCAAAUAUGACAAUUACUCCUUUGUUAGUACAACCAUUUUGAAGAGUAAUUGGCUAUAUCUAAUGAAAACGUACACACCUAAACCCAAAAAUUCCAUACCCUAGGGAAAUUCUUAUCCCAUAUGUAUAUAAUGGAAAGAUGAAAACCAACAAUGAGCAAAAGAAGCAAACUGCAGGAGUGUGUUUGUUAGUAUGAAAUCACACAUAACAAGUUUAAAGACAUGUUAAAUAAAAGUAUAUAAAGUUUAUGGAUAUAUAUACACAUUGUAAAGGCAUAAAAACACAAAUGGAAUAACAAAUAUAACAUUAGGCCAGGCGUGACGGCUCACACCUGUAAUCCCAGCACUUCAGGAGGCCAAGGCCAGCAAAUCACCCGAGGUCAGGAGUUGGAGACCAGCCUGGUCAACAUGGUGAAACCUGUCUCUACUAAAAAUCUUAAAAUUUACUGGGUUUGGUGGUGCAUGCCUGUAGUUCCAGCUACUCAGGAGGCUGAGGCAGAAGAAUCAUCUGAACCUGUGAGGAGGAGGUUGUAGUGAGCUGAGAUUACACCACUGUACUCCAGCCUAUUUUAAAUAAAUAAAUAAAACUUCAGUAAAUGAAAAGAAGUGUCAUUGGGCUUCCAUUGUAUUUGUUUUACUUCUUUUUUGAAAAUCAGAAACAAAUGUGGCAAAGAAAAAAUGACAAAUCUGCAUGCUAGAUUUGUUUGUUUUUGAAGUUUUUUUUGUUUUUGUUUUUGUUUUUAAGACAGAGUCUCACUCUGUCACCCAGGCUGGAGUGCAGUGGUGUGAUCUCAGCUCACUGUAACCUCUGCCUCCUGGGUUCAGGCAAUUCUCCCACCUCAGCCUCCCAAGUAGCUGGGAUUACAGGUGCCUGCCACCACGCCCAGCUAAUUUUUGUAUUUUUAAUAGAGAUGGGGUUUCACCAUGUUGGCAGGCUGUCCUCAAACUCCUGACCUCAGGUGAUCUGCCCACCUCAGCUUCCCAAAGUGCUAGUAUUACAGGCGUGAGUCACCACACCCAGCCCUGCAAGCCAGAUUUAAAAUGUACGUAUUUUUUGUACUUUUUAUAUGCUUAAAAUAUUUUAAAUUAAAUGUCUAUAAGUCAAAUGUUCAAAAAUAAGUACGUUUUGUUUGUUGCUUCUGGGUCCUGAAAAAUAAUUUACUAUGCCUCAAGCUAUAGGUAAUAUUUGCCUAGAUAUUUAUCUCUGAGCUAAAAACAUUAAGAUGAGAUUGAUGGAGCCCAUUAAAACAAAGGAAAAAAAACAUACUCAUCACUACUCUGAAAUCUACACAGGUUUUGAAAAUAAAUCUAUUCAUUAAGAAAAAGUUCAGAAAGUCUCUGUUUUUAAACCAUACCUGGCC